GCAAAUUUUAACUGUGGGUGUCGUCAUCUUACUGAUACUGGAUCGAUGGAAACCAAAUAAAUUAGUGAAAUUACAUCAGCAACUUGGAAAUGAUUGGAAGUAUUUUCCUAUUAUCGGAAAUGCAGUUAAUUUUAUAGGAAACAAUGAAGAUCGAAUGACGAGACUUAAACAAUUAACAUUACAAAGCUUCAAAAGGAAGCAUAAUGCAGUAACUAUGUGGUUAGGACCCUUUUUUUUCGUUGGUCUUAAAUAUGCGAUGCUGUCGAUAACAGCUAGUUUAGUGGCACUUCUGCGACAAUACCGUUUCAAUCCUGCUACAAAU